AUUGAACGCUGGCGGCAUGCCUUACACAUGCAAGUCGAACGGUAACGGGCCUUCGGGUGCCGACGAGUGGCGAACGGGUGAGUAAUACAUCGGAACGUGCCCGAUCGUGGGGGAUAACGAGGCGAAAGCUUUGCUAAUACCGCAUACGAUCUACGGAUGAAAGCAGGGGGCCGCAAGGCCUUGCCAGGACGGAGCGGCCGAUUGCAGAUUAGGUAGUUGGUGGGAUAAAAGCUUACCAAGCCGACGAUCUGUAGCUGGUCUGAGAGGAUGAUCAGCCACACUGGGACUGAGACACGGCCCAGACUCCUACGGGAGGCAGCAGUGGGGAAUUUUGGACAAUGGGCGCAAGCCUGAUCCAGCCAUGCCGCGUGCAGGAUGAAGGCCUUCGGGUUGUAAACUGCUUUUGUACGGAACGAAAAGCCUUCUUCUAAUACAGGAGGGUCAUGACGGUACCGUAAGAAUAAGCACCGGCUAACUACGUGCCAGCCGCCGCCGUAA
rnacentral:rRNA from 1 species